AGUACUAAAGCGGCGCCACUAGAGAGCUCUAAAGCACAGGCUCAGCGUGUAAAUAGAAGAAACAAUUGCAGAAAAUUAAAUUUCCGCUCAAAUUACGCCCCUUAUCAUCAGCGAGUGCAUCAUUUCGAGUUGAGAAAGACAGCGAGAUAUAAUUUCAGCUACCGUUCCGAAGUGUUUCCGCGCACGAUCGCUCAUCACUGAGAGCAGGUAUGCGCAUCUGCCUUGGAAACUCCGAGGUGAGGCAGAGAAGCUCGACGACCACCUCGGUUUAUUUUGCAGGGUAGACUAACUCAAAAAGAAAUUAGUCUUAAAAAUGAGAAGCUUCUCGUGACGAAACAGGCAACUGGAUACGUGCUAAAUUGCUUGACCCUUUUAACAAGAAAAGAACCAGGUCAUAAUGAGUGGCCAAGAAGUGUGAAAUCAAGUAUUGUGAUUUGACUCACUUUCUAAUGCUAGAAAAUAGCAUGCCUUCGGAUUCAUUCUCCCUCCCUUCCAUAUUCCUCAAAGAAGAGAUGGGCUGCAGAAUUCCAUCUUGGCAGGACACCAGCCGAAGAUGACUUACGGUGUCUGGCUGUGCUUACACAUCAAUGACAGAAGAAAAUGUUCUUACUAUUUAGUAAAUCAUGAUGAAGAAUCAAAAAGUGAGGUAGCAGAUACCUCAGGAAUUGGUUAUGGGACAGUCGAGUCAAUGUCGAAUCAAUAAUGAGUUCAGACAUGGAGGAAUUGAAGAAGCGUUUCAUAAAUGGGGAAGAAAUUUGGAAACAGCACUAUGAGAACAAACAAAAGCCAGCUGCAUCAUGACCAUGUGCACAAUCAUUUUAUGAAGCUAAGGAUUCAGUUCAUAUUGAUUGCUUGCCUCUAAAAUUCCACAUAACCAGUCACCAUUACUUUGAUUUGCUUUGGCAUUGAGGUAAUCAAAGAGGGCAGUGGUGCUCAUAGAGUUUUGAACCGAGGACUGCUUUGCUAAAGUGAGAUUUAACAGUGGAUCACCUGAAUAUGAGAGACACCUGUUAGUGAAAUUCUGCAUUACAUUCCCCAGAUUUACUUUAUAGAAGGCAUUUAUGUGAAAAAUACUAAGAUUCAUAUGCAACGUUGCUGAUUUGCAUUUCAGACUCCCAUAUUUCAGUCAGUAAAAUAUAAUUAAGAAUUUAUUUAUGAAGAUCGAUUAAGAGCAGGGUGCUUGUGAGCAUCAAGGGAAUUAAGGGACUGCCUUAACCAGAAAUGAGCUCUCCAGGCUGACACCAAAGAGAGUUUCGAAAUGAGACCUGCAUGGAGCCUGAGAUCGUCUGGACCAGAGAGUGACGGAGGAUGAAGAAGUGUUAAAUGUGUGAGCGAUAUUUCUCUCUCUUAAGCUUUCAAGUAUUGAAUUAUUUUCCUUAUAGGCUGUCCCAUGUGCAAACAGCAUCUCGUAUUUCAACAAAUUAUCGACAUGUUUUUAAGAGUACUACAGUCAAGUGUCCUUUUUGUUCCAUUCUAGACUAAAUAUUAUUAAAGAGAGUACUGCCCCUCA